UACGGGGGGGGCAAGCGUUGUUCGGAAUUACUGGGCGUAAAGGGCUCGUAGGUGGCCAACUAAGUCAGACGUGAAAUCCCUCGGCUUAACCGGGGAACUGCGUCUGAUACUGGAUGGCUUGAGUCCGGGAGAGGGAUGCGGAAUUCCAGGUGUAGCGGUGAAAUGCGUAGAUAUCGAGAGGAACACCGGUGGCGAAGGCGGCUCACUGGUCCGGUACUGACGCUGAGGUGCGAAAGCGUGGGGAGCAAACAGG
rnacentral:rRNA from 1 species